rnacentral:rRNA from 1 species
UGGUGGAGUGAUUUGUCUGGUUAAUUCCGAUAACGAACGAGACCCCCGCCUGCUAAAUAGUGGGCGCAAUGCAUUGCAUUGCGACUCGCUUCUUAGAGGGACUUUCGGUGUUUUAGCCGAAGGAAGUUGGGGGCAAUAACA